GAUGAAGAACGUAGCGAAAUGCGAUAAUUAAUGUGAAUUGCAGAAUUUAGUGAAUCAUCGAGUCUUUGAACGCACAUUGCGCCCCCUGGUAUUCCGGGGGGCGUGCCUGUCCGAGCGUCAUUGCUGCCCUCAAGCACGGCUUGUGUGUUGGGCCUCCGUCCUCCUCCCGGGGGACGGGCCCGAAAGGCAGCGGCGGCACCGCGUCCGGUCCUCGAGCGUAUGGGGCUUCGUCACCCGCUCUUGUAGGCCCGGUCGGCGCUUGCCGACACAUCAAUCUUUUUUCCAGGUUGACCUCGGAUCAGGUAGGGAUACCCGCUGAACUUAAGCAUAUCACUAAGCGGAGGA
rnacentral:misc_RNA from 1 species